GCCUUCGUUGUGUAAUGGUCAGCACACUGAGCCGGUAUUUCAGAGGUCCGUGGUUCGAUCCCCGGCGAAGGCA
rnacentral:tRNA from 1 species